UAGGUAUCUUCUAGAUCUGGAUUCAGUUGUCAUUUCUAGACUACCUGCUUGUCUAAUCUAGCCCCAGCUGACACAAAGAAUGACAAAUAUCUCUCACUGUCAGCAGCAGGACACAAAUCUGAAUCUUGCAAGUUGUGUGGAUGGGUGCAUAUGUGUCUGCAUGGCAGUAUGUAAUUAAAUGCAAGUGACUUCCUUGGUAGACUGGCUCCUUAACUCAUCCUAAGAGCACAAAUCAGGGGCUUUGACUUAAUGUAAAGCAGCUUUAUACAGAAUGCUUUACUUCUAAGACUUCACAUCGUGCUGCUGUCAAAAAAGAGCAGAGGAAGAUACGCAAGUCCUGAACCAAAGGCAAGAUGCUAAGCAGCUGUGUAAUCCAUCACUUCUGAGCUCUCUUCUUGUCAGACUCAAUUGUAGAUGUACUCCUUUUGAUUUGUGACAUCCAUGGCAGAAGUCUUGCAAAAAAGUCUGAUUCAGUGAAGUGGGGUCAUCCCUCAUGAAUUGCAUUCUGGUUUUUUAGUAGGCAAAUCUGUUCUUUUCCUACGGCCCAAUGCUGCCCAAAGGAUGCAACUGUUACAUCCCCUUUCGCUGUUAUUGCACAAUAAUAUGAUCUGCAUUCUGGAACUAUGUUUUUCAUUUAUUCAUAGCAGCUAGACUCCAAACUCACCAAACCAAGUGCCACCAGGCAGGCCUGACAAAGGCUUACAUUCAAGAAAUAGACUGCUGGCAGCUUCUUUGAACCUUUCCUGUUCAAGCUUCCUGGUGAACAGGUACACCAAGAAAGGGUUUUCAGUCAUUGCUGUGAUUGUCUGGAACAAUGUAAGCCUUCAGACUGAGAAAACUUAAAAGAAGAGGCUUGAAACAAACCUCUCCUAAGUCCUUUAUAUCUUUACAAGACUAACAAGAUCUCGCCUGAUUCAUUUUCCAUUUCCAUGCCGAGCAAAGGACCUUCUGAACACGCUUGGUCUCAACAACAUUUCCAUGAAAGAGAAAUGGGUCUGGGAGGAUUCUCUUUAAAAGAAUUCUUUAAAAGUUGCUGCUGAACAGAAACUGUUCCCUUGGGCCUGUAAAACACUGCCCUCACAGAUCAUUUUGCUACACAUCUAAACCCUGAGACUGCAAAAAAGAGUAGAUGAGGACAACGAUGGCACAAUCACUGGACUUACUACAUCCAGAGGAACUGUAGAGUAUAUAUGGAAGCAUUAGAAGGAGCUGAGAAAGGUCUUCAUCUAUCAACUUAAAAUAUUAUAAUAGCUGAGGAAUAGCAUUACUCAGAACAGUACAUUUUUUUGGGGAGGAAAGGGAUUAAGUCAUAAUGAGAACAUUACAACUAUGUUUUUCAAGUUAAGACAGAAGACUGUGAGCAUAUAUCUUUAUAUCCAGGCUGCUUUUAUCUGAAAAAACUAGAAUUCACAAGACCAUAUUUAUAAAAAGUCUCUCUUUUUGAGAUAUUUAUAGUGUUAUCUCAUAUCUGUUAUGCACUUCCUCUAUUUCUAUGUUUUAGACAAUGAGACCAGAAAUAGUAAAUUAAAAUACAUGUAGUUCAAUAUUAUGACGUGUGUU